GACGAACGCUGGCGGCGUGCCUAAUACAUGCAAGUAGAACGCACAGUUUAUACCGUAGCUUGCUACACCAUAGACUGUGAGUUGCGAACGGGUGAGUAACGCGUAGGUAACCUGCCUGGUAGCGGGGGAUAACUAUUGGAAACGAUAGCUAAUACCGCAUAAUAUUAAUUAUUGCAUGAUAAUUAAUUGAAAGGUGCAAUUGCACCACUACCAGAUGGACCUGCGUUGUAUUAGCUAGUAGGUGAGGUAACGGCUCACCUAGGCGACGAUACAUAGCCGACCUGAGAGGGUGAUCGGCCACACUGGGACUGAGACACGGCCCAGACUCCUACGGGAGGCAGCAGUAGGGAAUCUUCGGCAAUGGACGAAAGUCUGACCGAGCAACGCCGCGUGAGUGAAGAAGGUUUUCGGAUCGUAAAGCUCUGUUGUAAGAGAAGAACGGGUGUGAGAGUGGAAAGUUCACACUGUGACGGUAUCGUACCAGAAAGGGACGGCUAACUACGUG
rnacentral:rRNA from 1 species